rnacentral:rRNA from 1 species
GAUGAACGCUGGCGGCGUGCCUAAUACAUGCAAGUCGAGCGAACAGAUAAGGAGCUUGCUCCUUUGACGUUAGCGGCGGACGGGUGAGUAACACGUGGGUAACCUACCUAUAAGACUGGGAUAACUUCGGGAAACCGAAGCUAAUACCGGAUAACAUUUGGAACCGCAUGGUUCUAAAGUGAAAGAUGGUUUUGCUAUCACUUAUAGAUGGACCCGCGCCGUAUUAGCUAGUUGGUAAGGUAACGGCUUACCAAGGCGACGAUACGUAGCCGACCUGAGAGGGUGAUCGGCCACACUGGAACUGAGACACGGUCCAGACUCCUACGGGAGGCAGCAGUAGGGAAUCUUCCGCAAUGGGCGAAAGCCUGACGGAGCAACGCCGCGUGAGUGAUGAAGGGUUUCGGCUCGUAAAACUCUGUUAUUAGGGAAGAACAAAUGUGUAAGUAACUGUGCACGUCUUGACGGUACCUAAUCAGAAAGCCACGGCCAACUACGUG